GUUUCAUGAUGAACCAAAAAAAAUACAGUUCUGCUUCUGAACUUUAUUGAGGAGAACUUAAAAUUACCAAAACUUUUCUGAACA
rnacentral:snoRNA from 1 species